rnacentral:tRNA from 1 species
AGGGGUAUAGCUCAGCUGGUAGAGCGGCGGUCUCCAAAACCGCAGGUCGAGGGUUCAAAUCCUUCUGCCCCUGCCA